rnacentral:rRNA from 1 species
CAGUAGCCGCGGUAAUACGAAGGGUGCAAGCGUUACUCGGAAUUACUGGGCGUAAAGCGUGCGUAGGUGGUGGUUUAAGUCCGUUGUGAAAGCCCUGGGCUCAACCUGGGAAUUGCAGUGGAUACUGGGUCACUAGAGUGUGGUAGAGGAUAGUGGAAUUUCCGGUGUAGCAGUGAAAUGCGUAGAGAUCGGAAGGAACAUCUGUGGCGAAGGCGACUAUCUGGGCCAACACUGACGCUGAGGAGCGAAAGCAUGGGGAGCGAACAGGAUUAGAUACCCGAGUAGUCCCUGUCUCUUAUAC